AUUGAACGCUGGCGGCAGGCCCAACACAUGCAAGUCGAGCGGAGCGGCGGACGGGUGAGUAAUGCCUAGGAAUCUGCCUGGUAGUGGGGGAUAACGUCCGGAACCGGGCGCUAAUACCGCAUACUAUCAGAUGAGCCUAGGUCGGAUUAGCUAGUUGGUGGGGUAAAGGCCUACCAAGGCGACGACCCGUAGCUGGUCUGAGAGGAUGAUCAGUCACACGGGAACUGCGACACGGACCAAACUCCUAGGCGCGGCGCCAGUGGGGAAUAUUGGACAAUGGGCGAAAGCCUGGUACAGCCAUUCCGCGUGUGUGAAGAAGGUCUUCGGAUUGUAAUGCACUUUAAGUUGGGAGGCGUUACCAACAGAAAAAGCACCGGCUAACUUCGUGCCAGCAGCCGCGGUAAUAC
rnacentral:rRNA from 1 species